GAUAACCUACCUAUAAGACUGGGAUAACUUCGGGAAACCGGAGCUAAUACCGGAUAAUAUUUUGAACCGCAUGGUUCAAAAGUGAAAGACGGUCUUGCUGUCACUUAUAGAUGGAUCCGCGCUGCAUUAGCUAGUUGGUAAGGUAACGGCUUACCAAGGCAACGAUGCAUAGCCGACCUGAGAGGGUGAUCGGCCACACUGGAACUGAGACACGGUCCAGACUCCUACGGGAGGCAGCAGUAGGGAAUCUUCCGCAAUGGGCGAAAGCCUGACGGAGCAACGCCGCGUGAGUGAUGAAGGUCUUCGGAUCGUAAAACUCUGUUAUUAGGGAAGAACAUAUGUGUAAGUAACUGUGCACAUCUUGACGGUACCUAAUCAGAAAGCCACGGCUAACUACGUGCCAGCAGCCGCGGUAAUACGUAGGUGGCAAGCGUUAUCCGGAAUUAUUGGGCGUAAAGCGCGCGUAGGCGGUUUUUUAAGUCUGAUGUGAAAGCCCACGGCUCAACCGUGGAGGGUCAUUGGAAACUGGAAAACUUGAGUGCAGAAGAGGAAAGUGGAAUUCCAUGUGUAGCGGUGCCCUGCGCAGAGAUAUGGAGGAACACCAGUGGCGAAGGCGACUUUCUGGUCUGUAACUGACGCUGAUGUGCGAAAGCGUGGGGAUCAAACAGGAUUAGAUACCCUGGUAGUCCACGCCGUAAACGAUGAGUGCUAAGUGUUAGGGGGCCCCCGCCCCUUAGUGCUGCAGCUAACGCAUUAAGCACUCCGCCUGGGGAGUACGACCGCAAGGUUGAAACUCAAAGGAAUUGACGGGGACCCGCACAAGCGGUGGAGCAUGUGGUUUAAUUCGAAGCAACGCGAAGAACCUUACCAAAUCCCCACAUCCUUUGACAACUCUAGAGAUAGAGCCUUCCCCUUCGGGGGACAAAGUGACAGGUGGUGCAUGGUUGUCGUCAGCUCGUGUCGUGAGAUGUUGGGUUAAGUCCCGCAACGAGCGCAACCCUUAAGCUUAGUUGCCAUCAUUAAGUUGGGCACUCUAAGUUGACUGCCGGUGACAAACCGGAGGAAGGUGGGGAUGACGUCAAAUCAUCAUGCCCCUUAUGAUUUGGGCUACACACGUGCUACAAUGGACGGGACAAAGGGCAGCGAAACCGCGAGGUCAAGCAAAUCCCAUAAAGUUGUUCUCAGUUCGGAUUGUAGUCUGCAACUCGACUACAUGAAGCUGGAAUCGCUAGUAAUCGUAGAUCAGCAUGCUACGGUGAAUACGUUCCCGGGUCUUGUACACACCGCCCGUCACACCACGAGAGUUUGUA
rnacentral:rRNA from 1 species